CCUACGGGAGACAGCAGUGAGGAAUAUUGGUCAAUGGCCGAGAGGCUGAACCAGCCAAGUCGCGUGAGGGAAGACGGCCCUACGGGUUGUAAACCUCUUUUGUCGGGGAGCAAAGCGAGUCACGUGUGACUCAUUGAGAGUACCCGAAGAAAAAGCAUCGGCUAACUCCGUGCCAGCAGCCGCGGUAAUACGGAGGAUGCGAGCGUUAUCCGGAUUUAUUGGGUUUAAAGGGUGCGCAGGCGGAGGUGCAAGUCAGCGGUCAAAUUGCGGGGCUCAACCCCGUACUGCCGUUGAAACUGCAGCCCUUGAGUGCGCGAGAAGUAGGCGGAAUGCGUGGUGUAGCGGUGAAAUGCAUAGAUAUCACGCAGAACUCCGAUUGCGAAGGCAGCAUACCGGAGCGCAACUGACGCUCAUGCACGAAAGCGUGGGUAUCGAACAGGAUUAGAUACCCUAGUAGUC
rnacentral:rRNA from 1 species